ACUGCCCCUUUUUUUGCCUGCGAAUGGCGGCGAUUUGAAGUUGGGGCUUUUCGUUUCCUCCAAAACAUUGAUAUCUGGAAAGGGAGCCCCUUAACACUUUUGGAGGGAACUGGCUGCAGCAUUUGGCGGGGAGAGAUAAACUGGUUUCCCACCUCUGCUUACUCCCACCUUCUCCCCUUAAUCUUCUCUUCCUCUGUGCGAGACUUUUUUCCUUUUUUAUUGUAGACACAGGGUCUUUGUUCUGCUGCCCAGGUUGGAGUGCAGUGGCGUGAUCAUAGCUCACUGCAGCCUCAACCCCCCGGGCCCAAGCGAUCCUUCCACCUCAGCCUCCCGAGUAGCUGGGCCUAGAGGUGCACACCACCAUGCCUGGCUAAUUUUUAAUUUUUUUUGUAGAGAUGGAGCCUUUCUAUGUUGCCAAGCCUAGCCUCGAACUCCUGGCCUCCCAAAAUGUGGGGAAUACAGGCGUGAGCCACUGCACCCCGGGUCAUUCCUCUUUUACUUCCUUGCUGUACCCCAACUAUCCUUCCCCCUCGGUGCCCUUAAAACCUUUGCAUUGGGACUUAACGGUAAUAGAAUGGCAUUCCUCACUGCCUCCGAACCACUCAAGCUGCUGCCCAUGCACUCUCUUCUGCAUGGCUCCUGGACUAAGCAGCCUCCCUUUGAUUAAGCAGAGACAAGAAUCUCACUCUGUCAUCUGUGGCAAGAUCAUCUUACUGAGGCCUCAAACUCCCGGGCUCCAGCGAUCCCCCUCGGGCCUCUCAGCCUCCUGCGUAGCUAGAACUACAGGAAUGUGCCAGCAUGCCUAGCUAAUUUUUUUUUUUUUUUUGAGACAGAAUUUUGCUCUUGUUGCCCAGGCUGGAGUGCAAUGGUGUGAUCUCUGCUCACCGUAACCUCCAUAUCCUGGGUUCAAGCAAUUCUUCUGCCUCAGCCUCCCAAGUAGCUGGGAUUACAGGUGCCUGCCACUAAACCAGGCUAAUUUUUGUAUUUUUAGCAGAGAUGGGGUUUCACCAUGUUGGACAGGCUAGCUAGUCUCGAACUCCUAACCUCAGGUGAUCAACCUGCCUCAGCCUCCCAAAGUGCUGGGAUUACAGGCAUAAGCCACCAUGCCCAACCAUGCCCAGCUAAUUUUAAAAUUUUGUGUAGGGAUGGGGUCUCACUAUGUUGCCCACGCUGGUCUCAAACUCCUGGCCUCAAGCAAACCUCCUUACUUGACCUCGCAAAGUGCUGGAAUUACAGGCAUGAGCCACCGCGCCUGGUCUUCAGCCACAUUUAUCUAACAGGAAAACACAGCAACUAACCAAGACUCCGCAAAAUUCUAUUCAUCCCACUGGGCUCCGACUCAGGAAUUGUUUCCAAAUACUGGAUGGCCCGGAUCUCAAACAAACCUACAAGGAAAAACUCAUGUUGGUGAAACUGUGUAACACUCCAGACUGGGAAUUACAUAAAAUUCUGUGCUUAUAACCAGUGUAUUAUUUCCAGGGCUAAAACAAUAUUACAAAAUAAUUCUCAUAAUAAACAACUCAGAUUUUAAGCCCUUGUCGCUUUACAAUACUUUUUAUUCAUAAUAUAGUAAAAUCUUUCAAGGUAUUCACUAAAUAGAGAGGGAGAACUUUAUAAUGAAACUGACCUUUAACUCCACUUUUCCGAAGCUCUCGGUCCUGGAUGAAUCCUGCAAACAUCUGAGUUUCCAUGAAGAGAUCCAGGAAGUGGCGUACACUUCGGGAGGUGUGGGACUUACGGAAUGGUUCCCUUUGGAAAACACGCUCCCCACGCUCAGUGACAGUCAUGUUCAAAGAAUAAUGUCCUACCAACUCCACAAAAAACCUGACAAAUGCUUCGGACACCAGAGAGUUGAGUGUCACAUCUGCUGCAACAUGAAAAAGAAAAAAAGAAAAAAAUCUCCUCAGUUAUCUGUAUCUGGAAACACUGGCUCUGGUUAUGGAAGUCGUGCCUAAGAAGUUAUAGAUUAAAGGACUGAGAAUAAAUCUAGGAGUGUUCAUUCUUCACUUUCUUUCUGCACGACCUAGAAAAGGCUAAUUGCUUCUACCCUUCC
rnacentral:lncRNA from 1 species